ACAGAACAUAAACAUGUUGCUACACAAAAAAUGAUCAGUCAUGAAAAUAUCCUCUGUAUGAAAUAUUCUUAACAGAAGUUUUUAAUCUGGGAGAUUAGGGCAAAAAUAGCUUAUUCCUGAAUUUAUGAGUCCAUAUGCUAAGUAGAGCUUCUAAAACAUAAAUUGCUUAAGUUUCUGGUCUGGUGCCUAUGGCAAACCAUAAAGAAGUGAAAGUUUGUCUCAUUAUUAUGUUUCCUGAUAUUGUUGAUUUUGGAACUGCUAUUGGUAGAUUUAUUGCUCUUUAUGAGGUAUAAAUUCAUGAAUGAAAGACUGUAUUGU
rnacentral:misc_RNA from 1 species